rnacentral:rRNA from 3 species
CUCUCGGCAACGGAUAUCUAGGCUCUCGCAUCGAUGAAGAAUGUAGCGAAAUGCGAUACUUGGUGUGAAUUGUAGAAUCCCGCGAAUCAUCGAGUUUUUGAACGCAAGUUGCGCCCGAAGCCAUUCGACCGAGGGCACGUCUGCCUGGGUGUCACGCAUCGUUG